rnacentral:lncRNA from 1 species
GUAUUCUGCACGGACUGCUGGGCAGCACUAGCACUCUGGAGAAGGUCUGCCGCUGUCUGCACUUUCCUGGUUCUAUGCAGGCAGAUGAGUGUCACAGCUGUAACUGAGGCACAGAGCAGUACACACAGUGGAGCCGAUUUCCGCGAUGGCGAGAGGGGGCACCGGAGGUGACAACAAUAACAAGACUGUCCUUCGGACAAGUUUUAGCGCUGAAUAUCUUCAGGAAAAUGGGUUCCAUGAGAAGUGACAUCCUCCUCGAAUCAAAAGAUUCUCAGGAUGAUGGAGUGAGUGAUGGAAUAGGUUGCCAACUGUAGUUACUCCACUCAGCACAGAAUGGCUGCGGGGAAAUAUAAUCAGACAUGCCCAAAGAAGUCUGCUUAGGGUGAAACAAAUACCUUUGAGGUUUAAAUCAGAAAGGAAGGAGAGACUGUUUCUACAGGUGUCAUACAAAAAUCAAUACUGAGCCAAGGAUUAUUGGAUCCCAUAGAACCACGGAGACUUGGUAGUGAAAUUCUUCCAAAGCAUUCCAUCCGUGCAGGCAGAUGGUGUUCCUAGGUUUGGAAAUAUAAAUCCCAUGGGAAGUCAGCUGAAGACCAUUUUAUGCAUCACUCAUCCUGUUAGAGCCCUGUGCUGUUCUGUCUCUCUAUAAGACUGGCUGAAACCACCACGGUUGUUUACAAUUUAUGCUCUAACUUUGGAUCACCUAGUUAAUACUCUAACUCCGAUUAUUACCAAAGACAAUGUUCUAUAAAAGAUAUUGUCUAUUAGAAGGAUGCUUCUGCAUUAUUAAUAAAAUCACAGGGAAAAUGCAACAUUUUGGAUGUCACAUCUGAUAAGUUGGCAGUUAAAGAACAGAAACAGCAAUAAGACUGCGUGGCUACAUUUUCCCAGUGCCACCAACUGGGAUUUAAGCUGACUAACAUUUUGAAAGCCCAGCCCAUUUCAUUCACAGCAGGAUGGCAGUGGGUGACUGAUCGUACCCGCCAGCUGGCUAAUGUCAUAAUUAACAAAGUUGCUACUACAUCUGCAAAGUUUAAUCGAAAAAUUUGCCAGUGAUAUGAUGGCCUUGUCACAGAGAUCACAAGGGACACGGAGUUGACUUUUGCUCAAGGUGGAACGACAGAGCUGUGUAGGCAAGAUGAGAAAUUGCGAACUUGUUCGGCCAAAGGAGGCUAAUAAUGAAGGGGCCGGGAAGGAGGCCAGUGCUACCAGGGUUAUCUCACAACCUCAGAUGCUGGAUAAGUCGACGGAGGCAGAAUCGCUUUGGGAUGACAUUCAGAAAGCCUGGAGUGAUUACUUGCAAGAGAAAAGCCUACCUAUUCUUUCCAAGGUGCAGGAAUAUUCCCCUGACCUGCUCAUCCAGUGGUCCAGUAAUGAAUUACUGGAGACCUGCCUUAGACAAAGAAUGCACUCGGAGCCCCAACACACCUAAAGCCAUGCUUUGAAGGAUCUGCCAAGCUCACUUUUAAUCAUGAGAAAGAAAUUACCCACACGGAGUCAGCAGAAAAUGAGAAAGUAGAGCUCGUGCUGUGAAUAAUUCCAGCAAGUGCCAAGGGGCUAGUUGAGGAAUGGCUUCAUGAGAUGUUAGUCUAAAACAGCACCUUGGAUCUAAGCAGCACCUUUGAGAAAGAAAAGACUGCUUCAAGAAUGUCUAGUUGCACCUCCUUUCCGUAUGUGGCCUAAAUGCCUAGGUUGGAUCAAUAGUUUAAUUUUUUUAUUGAACUGUUUAAUAUUGACUAUGGACUUACAUUCACUUUUACUGUUUUCUGUAUAUUUACUUUUGCUUGAAGUGUUUUAAUAUUGACUAUUUACCUCUGCUCAUUUUUAUUGAUUUUCUGUAUUUUUUCAAUGAAAAUUAUAAUAAAAAUUAUUUUUGUUA